CACAUAAUCUUGGAUUUAUUUAAUCUAAUCCAUGUCUGAAUAUCCCUUUUAGGGCUAACUUGACAAGAUACCUUUCAGCUCUUACUUGAAAACCUCUGAGGUUUAAGUUUUGCAAAUUCACUCCCCAUAAACACUCUUUUUGGCCCUGGAGAAGUUGGCUAAACUCUAGGCUGCCCUCUUUUGUUGAUAAUUGUCUCCAGGUCCAUGUCUUUGGAAAAGCAGACUGGGAGCUUGUUUUAUCCUCUGGCCAUCAUGUCUUGCUUGCUCUCUAAGAAGCAGUGGAUUGUAUGGAGAAAGAUUGUUUCCUGUCCCUGUUGGGUACCCUGACAUCCUUAGACCUCUUGAAUUCACAAAGAACCCUCUAAGGACUGGGGGCAGAGUAGAAACAAAUGACCACACAGGAUUUCUGCAGCAUUUUUGUAGGACUAGAUAUGUUCCUAGAAAUAGAAGAAUUCAGCACAUACUCCUUGGAAACUGCCUAAUACACUCAUUGGCAUUCAUGCCCCACAGUUUGCAGUCUUUGCCUCACCUUUAUUUAUAACUUGCUUUCACAAAGUAUGUUCCUUCUAAUUCAUCUCUUGUCUGCGAUAUUUGACCUGGACAUCUAUGGAGUAGGACUGCUCCACUGUGGAAUUAAAUGAAGAUAGAAAACAUAAACAUAACUGGAAAUGUGCACAAACAUAUUUAUGAAAAAUUACUUAGCCUUUUUUUUUGCUAAAGUUAGUAUAAUUUUUAAAAUUCUUUUUAACUCUGACAGUGCAUUUAUAACACUUCUGUGUCCAAGAAAUAAAGCAUGUCUUCACAAACA
rnacentral:lncRNA from 1 species